AUGGCUUAUAUCUUCAAUGUAGCAAAUUCUCUUUCUUUAGGCUUUUUCAUUCGAAUGAUAAUUGCAUUUACUUUGUUUAUGGAGUUGGCUUCAGUUAGUGCAGAUAUAAAUAUGAGGAAAUUGGGAAACUCACCAAAUCCACCUCCUCCACCAAUACGUAGCUGGCCCUCUAGGCCAUCACGUCCAGACCCAAGUCACCCUCCACACUAA
rnacentral:lncRNA from 1 species